CAUACCAAAUCAAUCAUGUAACUUAAAGAAGGUUUCGUAGUAUCUUCAUAGUUGUAAGCCAUUUCCUUCUCAAUUUUUGGCUUGUCCCAAAUUUUGUGCAUGUCAGUGUGUAUCAUCUUCUAAAAGAGAGAAUAUGAAAAUUUUGAACUGCCUUAAGCUGCAAUUUUUAUUUUGAAACAUUUUUCUUUUGGUUUUAAAUGAAAACUUUAUGAUAACAGAUUAAAAGCAGGAAGAAUGUCUUCGUAACUUAUUACAAGUCGCUGACAGCAUAAAAAAAUUAAAAGAGAAUGAUAAACGUUUUCGUUGGCAGGAUGCGCAGAUAAUCGGGCGAUUCAAAGGGUUUCCGUUGUCUUUUCACGCUUGUAUAGCGAAUUUUUUGAAAUAAUACACCUUCAGGAAUGCUUACACAAUAGUUGAAGAACGUUUGAAGAUUAUGAGAAAAGUCAAAUAUGUUGCUGAGUAGUUUAAUCAGAAAUUUGAAGAUACUUGUUAAAACGUGGAUUUUUAUAAGAACCACAUACCAAUAAUGACAUUAGCAAUGGAAUUUUGAUUAAAGAUGUCUUUCAAUAUA